GAUUAGGCAUGCAAGUCGAACGGUGAGGCCCCGCAAGGGGCCGAUCAGUGGCGAAAGGGUGAGUAACACGUGAGCAAUCUGCCCUCGAGAUCGGGAUAGCCCCGGGAAACUGGGAUUAAUACCGGAUGUGGUUACCGGUCGCAUGGCCGGUGUACUGAAGGCGCAAGCCGCUCGAGGAUGAGCUCGCGUCCGAUUAGCUAGUUGGCGGGGUCACGGCCCACCAAGGCUGAGAUCGGUAGGUGGUCCGAGAGGAUGGUCACCCACACUGGACUGAGACACUGCCCAGACUCCUACGGGAGGCUGCAGUCGAGAAUCUUCCGCAAUGGGCGAAAGCCUGACGGAGCGAUGCCGCGUGAGGGAUGAAGGCCUUCGGGUUGUAAACCUCUGUCGCCCGGGACGAAACCAAUGACGGUACCGGGAGAGGAAGCUACGGCUAACUACGUGCCAGCAGCCGCGGUAAUACGUAGGUAGCAAGCGUUAUUCGGAUUUACUGGGCGUAAAGGGUCCGCAGGGGGCCUGCCAAGUCUGAUGUGAAAUACCACGGCUCAACUGUGGAACGGCAUUGGAAACUGGCGGGCUAGAGUGCAUGAGGGGUGAGCAGAAUUCCUGGUGUAGCGGUGGAAUGCGUAGAUAUCAGGAGGAAUACCGAUGGCGAAGGCGGCUCACUGGCAUGCAACUGACCCUCAGGGACGAAAGCAUGGGUAGCAAACAGGAUUAGAUACCCUGGUAGUCCACGCUGUAAACGGUGUACACUAGAUGUGGGUGGUCCUUUUGGUCCCAUCCGUGUCCAAGCUAACGCGUUAAGUGUACCGCCUGGGGACUACGGCCGCAAGGUUAAAACUCAAAGGAAUUGACGGGGGCCCGCACAGGCGGUGGAGUAUGUGGCUUAAUUCGAGGCAACGCGAAGAACCUUACCUGGGCUUGACAUAUACCUGACGGGGUGUGAAAGCAUCCUUUCCUUCGGGACGGGUAUACAGGUGCUGCAUGGCUGUCGUCAGCUCGUGUCGUGAGAUGUUCGGUUAAGUCCGGCAACGAGCGCAACCCGUACUGUCAGUUGCGAACAGGUGAAGCUGAGCACUCUGGCGGGACUGCCCGUGUUAAGCGGGAGGAAGGCGCGGAUGACGUCAAGUCAGUAUGGCCCUUACGUCCAGGGCUGCACACGUACUACAAUGGGCGGUACAGUGGGAAGCAAUACCGCGAGGUGGAGCAAAUCCUCAAAACCGCCCCCAGUUCAGAUUGCAGUCUGCAACUCGACUGCAUGAAGCCGGAAUCGCUAGUAAAGGCGUAUCAGCAACGACGCCUUGAAUACGUUCCCGGGCCUUGUACACACCGCCGUCACAUCAUGGAAGCCGGUUGCACCCGACACUUCCGAUCCAACCCGCAAGGGAGGUAGGAAACUAAGGUGUGCCCGGUAACUGGGAUGAAGUCGUAACAAGGUA
rnacentral:rRNA from 1 species